GCGGGGGGCGCGGCUCCAUCCUGCGUCCCUCCGGGGGCGCGGGCCAAGGGUUCGGUCUGCAGAGCGGCCUCGGAAACGUCCCUCGCGCCCUUCCGGUCCUUCCUCCGCUUCGUGGUACAGACUACCUUUGAAAUCCUGCCUUCUCCCUUUUUUGCCUCACUCCCACGCUCUCUACAUAGUGAAAUCUGAUUGAAGGGAGCUGGAAAAGCGUCAACAAACAAGGGGUGCCUUGCCAAGGCCAGUGAAGCGGUGCCUCUGGAGAUUGUGUGGCAGAGGGGCCCCUGGGCCCUUCCAGGAGACCCGCAGGAAGGGUGGGGUGCGAGCGGGGUGCCCCAGUGUGGCUGUGUCAGGCCUGGUUCUUCUUUCUCUGCCUCCCCGAUGGAAACUGGGACUCCAGCAGCCUACUGGAGUAUGACACUUCAAAACAAAGGCCAGCUAAUAACAACAAGUAAGAAAAAAAAUUAUGUUAAGAUUAGGAACAGCAGAUUUUAGAGCUCUUUGUGAAUGCCACAGCCAAGAGGAUUUGUAUAAGGUGCAGUCAGUGCGCAGAUAGAGCUUCCAUCCUGCUUCACAUGCAACUCUGUUGUUAAAUGUUACCAAAGUAUCCAUUCUGGAUAAACAGACCAGCUAACCUCAUGGGUGCCAAAACUCCUCCACUGAACAGGAUCUUCAUAAGGAAGAGUCUUUGUGAAGCCACAGAGAAGACACCUCUGAGAGCAGACUUGGAAAGACCUCCCUGUGCACUUUUUUCUCCUGGUAGCCCAUGACGUAUGUUCCCAUCACAGUUUUUCAAUAGUGGAGGAAUUAUUUUCUUUAAGAAUAAAAAGAAAAUGUUUGCUUUUCAUCCUAUUCUCUGCACUUUUCAUUGAGUACUGUUUGAGUACUCUUCUCAGCUUACAGGUAAGGCAUGAGAAUUAGUGAAAUGACCAAGCUAUUAGACUGUACAAAUUUAUGCUCAGCACCAAACAUAAACCAGAAAACAUUGUCACAAAGCUCUCUAGAAGCCCGUGGGGCAUAUGAUUAUGAUCAAAGCGCUGAAAUAUUCCAGCCACCUCCAUCUUUGAGUGUCUGUUUCUGCGGGUUACGAUGGUUUGGCUGUUUCCCAAACUCCUCCCGUCUUUGGACUUGAAAAAUGCAUUAAAGAAACACUGUGUUUAAGGCAUCUCUUGGUUUGGGUGAAUUAUAAUCACAUAUACUAAUGUGAAGAGGUUCAACACUAUUAGAAAUUUACAAAUUUAUAAGGCAAAGAUCAUAGAGCUCUGAGCCUCAGGCAGUUCUUGGGCAAAGGUUUUGAAAUUCAAGCCUCAAAUUCUUCACUGAUGACACAGAGGCAUCUGAACUGCAGUUCCAGGGCAAGGUAAAAAAAGAAGCCUGUUGUUAUGUAUAUCUAAAAAUCUACCAAUAAAAUCUAAUGAAAAUAAAAAAAGAAGUAGCCUGUCCAUUACUAAGUGAGACAGAUUACACACAUCAAAUGUCAAAGAAUAUUAGUGUACUCA